rnacentral:lncRNA from 1 species
UGGCAGAAACCCCGAAGGUUUUAUUACUUAGUGAGGAUGCAAGCCUACUGUCCAGCACACCCAGGCGUACCUCCCCAUGGAGACAGUUACAGGAUGACAUUCUGAUUGGAUCUAAAUCAACUGGCCAGGCCAACACAAGCAGCUACAGCUCUCUAAAUACGGCAGAGAAACUGCCACAUCAUGACUUAGUUUGGCAAUAUUUCUGGGUCCUGAGGAUUCAUGCAGCCAAGCUGAUGACACCAUUCCUCUGCUCCUCUCCCACCACUCUCAGGUUAACUGGAGAAGAAUUCAAACCACACGUAAACAAACGAAGUCCAGCCCUGCCUUGGCAGAUGGGAAGCAGACAGAGACUUGCCAGAGCAAGAACAUUUACUGACCACUGUUACAUUCAAAUCACCUAG